GUGGAUUACAAAACAAGUAUGCAAUGCUCCUGGGGACCUGCUUGUGCAGAGCGAACUCAAAUUGCCGGCAGAAUGGGCGGGGCUACCCAGUCUACGCAGAUCGAGGAGUAGCCAUGGACCAAGCCCCAUAGACCUAUUAAAGAACGAAGCGGCUAGGUCAAUGGCAUGAACCUAUAAAGAAAGGGAGUGGCUCAACGUGGGUGGAGCUAAAUGUUUGGCUUUGCACCGGAAGACGAAGAAUGUGCGUCCGACUCCAAGGCCAUAGUAUUGUGUGCUUUUCUGCUUAGAGGUAAAUUGCCGUUCUCUGUGUUCUUGCAUAUUAUAAACUAAUUUGUGGAGAAACCAACAAGUUGAUCAUCUAACUAUUCAUGCAAGUAACGUGAAUAGGCCUCAUGGCUAUGUCAGUUGUGUGCAAUAGCAUUUAGGCUGCGUUUGGGCAAUUUUCAAGUAGAUAAGCCAAAUAAGUUUGCCGAAAUGUGUCAAAAAUCUCAUUUAAAAUCCAGGAAUAUAAACAUAGUAACUAAUGCACUGUAUUUAUGUGUGUUUCUACCCUAGAGUAUGUCUCUUAGAAAUAAAGAAGCUACUUUGAUAGACCUUGUGUUGUGUGUGCGUUUGACACGUGUCCCGCUGCCGUACCGCCCACUACAUGGAGCACCACAUACUGGGCCGGAAGCCUCUCAUGCUCUCCACGGUCAAGCCCAGGCUGAUUUACUCCCUCUUCCUGAGGCCAUCCCUUAUGAGGGAAAUGUGAGACACAUCAGUAUACUCUCGGAUGGUGAUACACCAACCAUUAAUAAAUGCACCAACCGUGAACUUUUCCACUGUCCCUUCUGCAAAUAUGUGGGUGCAAUAUAUAUGGUUGACAACCAUAUAAAAGGCCAUUCUUCAGUAAAACAUAAAGGGUUCACAAUGAUCAAGUGUGGAUUAAGUUGUCGGACGGCAACGCAUUUUCAUUGUUGCUAUUGUACAGCAACAAUUAUAAAUCGAUUGCAAUUUACAAAGCACUUACUAAUACACCAGGGGGAGGGGCAUGCUGCAGCCCCCGCACGGCACUCUGUGGCCCCUGUGCAGCAGUCUGUGGCCCCCGCUCAUCACCCAUUGGUCCCCGCUCAGUACCAAGAGGCCGCCGCUCAUCACCCAUUGGCCCCCCCCGCUCAGCACCCAUUGGCCCCCACUCAGCACCCAGAGGCCCCGGCUCAGCACCCAGAGGCCCCGGCUCAGCACCCAGCGGCCCCCACUCAACACCCAUUGGCCCCCGCUCAGCACCCAUUGCCCCCCCCAGCUCAGCACCCAUUGGCCCCAACUCAUCACCCAGAGGCCCCCACUCAGCACCCAGAGGCCCCCACUCAUCACCCAGAGGCCCCCACUCAUCACACACAGGCCCCCACUCAUCACCCAGAGGCCCCCACUCAUCACCCAGAGGCCCCCACUCAUCACACACAGGCCCCCACUCAUCACACAGAGGCCCCCACUCAUCACACAGAGGCCCCCACUCAUCACACAGAGGCCCCCACUCAGCACCCAUUGGCCCCAACUCAUCACCCAGAGGCCCCCACUCAGCACCCAUUGGCCCCAACUCAUCACCCAGAGGCCCCCACUCAUCACCCAGAGGCCCCCACUCAUCACCCAGAGGCCCCCACUCAUCACCCAGAGGCCCCCACUCAUCACACACAGGCCCCCACUCAUCACACACAGGCCCCCACUCAUCACACACAGGCUCCUGCAGAGUGUUCCGCGGCCACUAAAGCAUCUAGUAAACAAAAUAAACUCUGUUGUCCUCAUUGCAAGAUGAUUUUAAGCAAAAAAAACUUCAAAACACACUGCAGGAGAAAACACCCCCACCAAUUUGAGACGGACACUUGGCGUGAAUGAUGUCAAGGGUCUGAAGAUGACAGAUUUCUGGACAGAAAAAGGCGACAAGAGCAAGGAGGCCAACAGGAUUUGGAAGUGGUCCCUCCAAAACCAAUUCAGCUAUUCAAAGCUAUUUCUGAAGCAUCAGAGGAAGCUGAGUACUUGACAGAACUGGGAACAGGGUAUGUUUCUCCAACCUUUAAUAGGGCCUGAGCACCAUGAAAGAUCAAACAUGUUCAAUGAUUCAAAGUCUGCUGUCACUGGUUUAUUUGACUAAGCUAAUAUAGUUGAUUGUACAAAAUAACAUGUCUAUGUAUAUAUUGUUUGUCACUCUCAGGUAAAUGCUAUGGUGUAUAUCUUUUUUAUCAUUAUAGGCAGCAUGAAUGAAAUAAUGCACAGUAAAAAAACAUUUGACAAGUUAAAGGUAGGGAUGUCUGUCUUUCAAAUGCAUGAACGCAAACCUAGUUGCACAGGUUUUGAGUUCAGUGAGAGCUGAACCUCAGUACAAAGUUGUAUGUGAGGUGAAAAUGUAAAUGUAUUACCAUUAUUUUUAUUCACAAGAUGAGACAAAAAAGUAUAUAGAAUAUUAUGUAUUAUAAUUACAACUAUUAUGUAGGCUGGUAUUUACGUUUAGGAUACGAAAAGAAACAUGUUUUCCCAAAGAACUACAUUUUGGCACCAGACCUGAUCCUGACCUUAACACAUCAGGACAGAGUUUAUCAAACAAUGCCACGUAAUACAUUGAACUUAAUUAUCAGCUCUCCCUGUGUAUUUUAAUGAAAUGAUAUUAUAAUCUAUAUAUAUUAGUUAUAUUAUAAUAGUUAUUCU